ensembl:lncRNA
UAGUAAUAUUGUUUUCCAUAUCCUGUGUAGAUAUAUAUAUAUAUAUAUACAUAUAUAUAUAUACAUCCAGUACAUGAUUUUGCCUGUUUUUCUUUGAUAUCAGGAACCAUUCCAUGUUAUCAUGUAUAUAAAAUUUUAAGUAUUUUUAUAUUCAUAUUGGCACUUUUUAUUUUGGUGGUGAUUUUUCCAUCAGUUAUGAAACCAAAAAAUACACUGCUGUGGUACUCCCACUGCCAAAGACCAGCAGCACCACACCUAUUCUCAAUAGGAUAUAAUGAAUUUCACUACUUUGGCUCUCCAAUAUUAAGAAUGGUGGGAUGGUUUGUCAGUAAGAACACACUGAAAGGAAUUUCGACGGGGUUGAAUUUGAAGAGAAUGAUAUGUAUUCUUUCUAAUGAAUCAGAAUUCUUUAUUCUAUUCCCUGAUGCUGCAAAUACCAUUUGGUCUUCAGCAGUUGUUCUUUUAUUUUUAAACUGUAAAAUUCAAGUAACGGCAUGAAACAGAAUGUAAAUCAUUGGAAAUAUAAGAUAAUGUAGUAUGGAAAUUUUACUAAUUUUUGUGAUUCAGAUUUUGUUCUGGUUUUUUUCCAAACUUUGAGAUAAGUUUAACAAUCUUUUCUGUCAUCACCAAUAAGGACCACUGAUGACUGAGGUGAGUGACACAUGCCUUCAACCACGUAAGACUUGGAAAAGCUGUCAGUGUGAGGCCAGCUCUGGAAUCCUUGACUCAUUUUUCCUUUUUUACUCCCUAAUACUGAAAGUUUUGUACAGUGUCCCAGAUUAUUUUCCCCAUCAGUACAGAAGCUGUUCAAUUUCCCCCAGGGUUAUAUUCUAUAACAUAAGUGACAAAUGCAUUAAAGACUCAUAAUGUACUGAACAGUAUGCCUUAUCCUAAACUAAUUAUGCUUAGACACUUAAAUUAGCCAUCAAGUGACCAAUAUAAUUAAAGCAUAUCUAUUUUGUAAUGAAAUAUGAUAUGUCUCAUGUAAUUCAUGAAAUAUACUAAACUUCAGGAUACAGUCAAUUUUUACACCCUUGAGCAGGUGGCUAAUAGCUUUUUUUUUUUUUUAAAAAAGAAGUUUCACUUUGUAGUUCAGGCUGGCUUUGAACAUACAUCAAUCCUCCUGCCUCAGCCUCCUGAGUGCUAUAGCUCAUUUCUAAUUCUUACCAUCACCAAGAAUUUGAAUAGUGCACACUGCUAUUCCAGCUAGAGAUGAAACGGUGAAAGUAGAUUUUUUUAUCCUGAGCAUAUUUAUUUAGCCACCUUCUUGGCAUCAGUUAAGCUUGCUGGCUUCAGUGAUUCCUGACUAUACUCCUACAUCCUUGGAGAGCUGGAUCACAAGACUGAAACCAGCCUGGGCAACUUAGUGAGACCUUGGCUGAAAAGAGUAUGAAAACUGGCGAAGCCCAACCGACCUCCGUUGCUGCUUGACAAAGUUCCAGCUGGGGAAAGAAAGGGAGGAACACAUCGCACCCUCAUGUGUUAUUUUUUCUUGCCAUAAUGUUUACAAUUGUUACUCUGAUCACAGGAGUCAUUGUGUUUGUGACUAACAACAAACUCUCCGUGAAGCAAAUUGGCAAUGACGUAUUGAAAUCUGAUCUGGCUCACAAGUCCCAAAUUCCAGUUUCUCUUAGUUCUAUUGCCACAUCCACUCCUAAAGAAACCUCUCCUAAAACCCCCUCUGUUUCCCCACUAUUAUGACUCCCCCUCUUAUUGCUGACAUUCUUUUUACUAAAGGGGUCUAAUGAAGAGAUUGGAAGGACAGACUUUAGAUGUAAGAAAUAGUGGAAAAUGAGAAAUAGAAAGAACAUUAAGACAGGUAAAUGCAUUAAGGAGGCAAAUUACUCAAUAUUUCUCAAAGUGCUGUAAAUAUCUCCUGCUCAUAGACUAUGAACCCAAAUGGCAUUUAGUUAAGAUGAAUAGAGGUAAAGAAAAAUAGAGAGCUAAUAACAAACUAUAUUAACCAUUGUGCAGUUUCUCAAGGGCCAGCUGGCGACCACAAGUUUGACACUUAGUUGAUUAAAUCUUGCUUGUACCCCCGCUGAUACAGAGAUUUUGAUUAAGUUACUUUCUGUUCUGUUUAGGUGUGGGUAAAUAAGGGGACAAUUGUAAUUUUUAAAUAUAUAUUCGUGAUGUUCAAUGAAAUGAAACAGCUUAGAGGAAUUGUACUUUGUUUAGCAUAGAAUAACCUUUACUUCAAUAGAAAUUGCUAAGGCAACUUAAAAUGUAAACAUGUUCUGCCCAAUGCCUCCCAGCUAUUGCUUAAAGAUAUAAAAAUAAAUCAGACCCUG